rnacentral:rRNA from 1 species
GACGUAGGGCGCGAGCGUUGUCCGGAUUUAUUGGGCGUAAAGAGCUCGUAGGCGGCUUGUCGCGUCGACUGUGAAAACCCACGGCUCAACUGUGGGCUUGCAGUGGGUACGGGCAGACUAGAGUGUGGUAGGGGAGACUGGAAUUCCUGGUGUAGCGGUGAAAUGCGCAGAUAUCAGGAGGAACACCGAUGGCGAAGGCAGGUCUCUGGGCCAUAACUGACGCUGAGAAGCGAAAGCAUGGGGAGCGAACAGG